rfam:Algibacter lectus DNA, contig: contig00002, strain: JCM 19300.
AAAGCGGUAGCCGAAAAGCUUAUACAAAUAGAGUAGGUU